rnacentral:rRNA from 1 species
AACGAACGCUGGCGGCGCGUCUUAACCAUGCAAGUCGAGCGGCAGGCAGCAAUGCCGAGAGCGGCGGACUGGUGAGUAACACGUGGAUAACGUACCCCGAUGUCCGGGACAGCCUGUAGAAAUAGAGGGUAAUACCGGAUAGAUCACUGUUUACGUGAGGUAGACAGCGGGAAAGGAGCUUCGGCUCCGCGACGGGAUCGGUCUGCGGCCCAUCAGCUGGACGGCGGGGUAAAGGCCCGCCGUGGCGAGGACGGGUAUCCGGCCUGAGAGGGCGGACGGACACAUUGGGACUGAGAUACGGCCCAGACUCCUACGGGAGGCAGCAGGUAAGAAUAUUCCGCAAUGGGGGGAACCCUGACGGAGCGACGCCGCGUGAACGAAGAAGGCCGGAAGGUUGUAAAGUUCUUUUCUGUCCGAGGAAUAAGAUUCGGAGGAAAUGCCGGGACGGUGACGGUAGGGCAGGAAUAAGCACCGGCUAAUUACGUG